rnacentral:ncRNA from 1 species
GUAUAGGCGAUGAAAAGACCAGUAAGUUUGAUUAAGUCAUUAGAGAGUGGAAUCCACCGGCUGAAAGAUUCCUUGAUUCAUGAUCAAACUGAAACCUACCUUUGAGCUUGCGAAAACGCACGGUUCGGACCGAUAUCUCCGACGUAAGUGAACAGGAUUUCCUGUUAAUUAGAGUGGUACCGCGACCCUUCGUCUCUAUC